UCUCAACAAAAUGUGUUUUCUUUUUCCAGGUUGUGUAGUUUGGUAUCAGAAUUAUUAGACGUAUUGCUUGUAGGACAUUGACGGCAGGAACUUGAAAUUAACUGUGGAGUGCUACCUUAAGGUUGUGUAGUUUGGUAUCAGAAUUAUUAGACGUAUUGCUUGUAGGACAUUGACGGCAGGAACUUGAAA